CAGCAGCCGCGGGAAAACGAAGGGGGCUAGCGUUGUUCGGAUUUACUGGGCGUAAAGCGCACGUAGGCGGACUUUUAAGUCAGGGGUGAAAUCCCGGGGCUCAACCCCGGAACUGCCUUUGAUACUGGAAGUCUUGAGUAUGGUAGAGGUGAGUGGAAUUCCGAGUGUAGAGGUGAAAUUCGUAGAUAUUCGGAGGAACACCAGUGGCGAAGGCGGCUCACUGGACCAUUACUGACGCUGAGGUGCGAAAGCGUGGGGAGCAAACAGGAUUAGAUACCCCAGUAGUCCCUGUCUCUUAUAC
rnacentral:rRNA from 1 species